rnacentral:pre_miRNA from 1 species
AAUAGAUAACGCCAUUGACUUUUUUUCACAUGUUUGACCAUUCGUCUUAUUUAAAAAAUUUACAUAAUUAUAAUUUAUUUUGUUAUGAGUUGUUUAAUUACUCAUAGUACUUUAAGUGUGAUUUAUAUCUAUAUAUUUGCAUAAAAUUUUUGAAUAAGACGAAUGAUCAAACAUAUGAAAAAAAAGUUAACGGCGUUAUCUAUU